GAGGAUAUAGCUCAGUGGGUAGAGUGCUUGCCUCUCAUGUAUAAGGCCCUGGGUUCAAUCCCCAGUACCAUCA
rnacentral:tRNA from 1 species